CAGUCGCCGCGGGAAUACGUAUGUCACAAGCGUUAUCCGGAUUUAUUGGGCGUAAAGCGCGUCUAGGCGGUUAAUUAAGUCUGAUGUGAAAAUGCGGAGCUCAACUCCGUAUUGCGUUGGAAACUGGUUAACUAGAGUACUGGAGAGGUAAGCGGAACUACAAGUGUAGAGGUGAAAUUCGUAGAUAUUCGCAAGAACACCAGUGGCGAAGGCGGCUCACUGGCCCGAUACUGACGCUGAGGCACGAAAGCGUGGGGAGCAAACAGGAUUAGAUACCCCUGUAGUCCCUGUCUCUUAUACA
rnacentral:rRNA from 1 species